rnacentral:rRNA from 1 species
GAACGAACUUCCGUUAAUUGAUUAUGACGUACUUGUACUGAUUGAGAUUUUAACACGAAGUGAGUGGCGAACGGGUGAGUAACACGUGGGUAACCUGCCCAGAAGUAGGGGAUAACACCUGGAAACAGAUGCUAAUACCGUAUAACAGAGAAAACCGCAUGGUUUUCUUUUAAAAGAUGGCUCUGCUAUCACUUCUGGAUGGACCCGCGGCGUAUUAGCUAGUUGGUGAGGUAAAGGCUCACCAAGGCAGUGAUACGUAGCCGACCUGAGAGGGUAAUCGGCCACAUUGGGACUGAGACACGGCCCAGACUCCUACGGGAGGCAGCAGUAGGGAAUCUUCCACAAUGGACGCAAGUCUGAUGGAGCAACGCCGCGUGAGUGAAGAAGGGUUUCGGCUCGUAAAGCUCUGUUGUUAAAGAAGAACGUGGGUAAGAGUAACUGUUUACCCAGUGACGGUAUUUAACCAGAAAGCCACGGCUAACUACGUGCCAGCAGCCGCGGUAAUACGUAGGUGGCAAGCGUUAUCCGGAUUUAUUGGGCGUAAAGCGAGCGCAGGCGGUCUUUUAAGUCUAAUGUGAAAGCCUUCGGCUCAACCGAAGAAGUGCAUUGGAAACUGGGAGACUUGAGUGCAGAAGAGGACAGUGGAACUCCAUGUGUAGCGGUGAAAUGCGUAGAUAUAUGGAAGAACACCAGUGGCGAAGGCGGCUGUCUGGUCUGCAACUGACGCUGAGGCUCGAAAGCAUGGGUAGCGAACAGGAUUAGAUACCCUGGUAGUCCAUGCCGUAAACGAUGAUUACUAAGUGUUGGAGGGUUUCCGCCCUUCAGUGCUGCAGCUAACGCAUUAAGUAAUCCGCCUGGGGAGUACGACCGCAAGGUUGAAACUCAAAAGAAUUGACGGGGGCCCGCACAAGCGGUGGAGCAUGUGGUUUAAUUCGAAGCUACGCGAAGAACCUUACCAGGUCUUGACAUCUUCUGACAGUCUAAGAGAUUAGAGGUUCCCUUCGGGGACAGAAUGACAGGUGGUGCAUGGUUGUCGUCAGCUCGUGUCGUGAGAUGUUGGGUUAAGUCCCGCAACGAGCGCAACCCUUAUUACUAGUUGCCAGCAUUAAGUUGGGCACUCUAGUGAGACUGCCGGUGACAAACCGGAGGAAGGUGGGGACGACGUCAAAUCAUCAUGCCCCUUAUGACCUGGGCUACACACGUGCUACAAUGGAUGGUACAACGAGUCGCGAGACCGCGAGGUUAAGCUAAUCUCUUAAAACCAUUCUCAGUUCGGACUGUAGGCUGCAACUCGCCUACACGAAGUCGGAAUCGCUAGUAAUCGCGGAUCAGCAUGCCGCGGUGAAUACGUUCCCGGGCCUUGUACACACCGCCCGUCACACCAUGAGAGUUUGUAACACCCAAAGCCGGUGGGGUAACCUUUUAGGAG